CUGGGCACCCUGGGAGAUCCCCCUCCCCGAGGAGCUGCCUCUCAUCGUGACGGGGGGUUCGCUUCUGGGGACAAAGCCCUGCUCCCCCGCCUGCCAGUCCUGUGACUUCACGUCCCUGAGCCUUGGCUCCCCUGCCGUAGGGCCGGCCCGUGUUCUGCACCCCGAGGCGGCUGUGGGAACUCAGCGUCGAGGCUGACCCAGGCACAGUGGGGCCGGGAGCCGCAGCUUAGGUGUAUAAGGCUGUCUCAGCCGCGACUACAGUCCGCAGUCCUCAGUGAUACCGCAGGAAAGAAGUGACCAGCUCCUGUCCCCAGGUAGGGUGACCCGGGGCCCCAGGGGCUGGGUGGCUCGCCCCAGGUGCUGUACUCUUCAGAAGCAGAACACAGCCCGCACUCUUGGCUCUGGAGCUCCGCCACAGCACAGCCCGGUCCAGAGGAGCCAUGUGGGCGAAGCCUGAAAUCUGAAGUCGACCACGCCGGACCCUAGCCCUGGCUGCCCGGUGAACUCAGCACGCAACUUUGGAGGAUGAGAGCUUUCCACUUUCUGCUGUUGCUCUCUGUGCCAUUGGUCAGCUGUGCGACCCUGGGCAAGACUUCCCCUCCCUGAGCCUCAGCUUCCUCAUCUGCCAAAUGGGGUUUUCAGACCUGAACAAGCUAUGACAUGGGGCUACCUGACUCAGAGCUUAGCGUGUGCAAAGCAUCUGGCACAAAGUAAGCUCCCAGCCAGCGUGAUGCCAGCCCCCGGCGGACAGCGGACACGCAGAUGAAAGGCCGCCUCCAAAGGCGGUGAGCUCUCCACCGCCGGAGAUCAUCAAGCAGGGGCUGAAUGGCCACCUGUCAGAGACUCGGGCCAGGCCACCAGGGUGACCUUUAAAAGGCUUCCAACUGAGAGCUCAUGACAUCGCCCCCGUGAAACUGUGCGCAGUGCCUUGC
rnacentral:lncRNA from 1 species